rnacentral:rRNA from 2 species
GGCUCAGAACGAACGCUGGCGGCAGGCUUAACACAUGCAAGUCGAGCGCCCCGCAAGGGGAGCGGCAGACGGGUGAGUAACGCGUGGGAAUCUACCCUUGACUACGGAAUAACGCAGGGAAACUUGUGCUAAUACCGUAUGUGUCCUUCGGGAGAAAGAUUUAUCGGUCAAGGAUGAGCCCGCGUUGGAUUAGCUAGUUGGUGGGGUAAAGGCCUACCAAGGCGACGAUCCAUAGCUGGUCUGAGAGGAUGAUCAGCCACAUUGGGACUGAGACACGGCCCAAACUCCUACGGGAGGCAGCAGUGGGGAAUAUUGGACAAUGGGCGCAAGCCUGAUCCAGCCAUGCCGCGUGAGUGAUGAAGGCCCUAGGGUUGUAAAGCUCUUUCACCGGAGAAGAUAAUGACG